rnacentral:rRNA from 1 species
UUCCAUCUGGAAGAAAGUCUGGAGACAGGUGCUGCAUGGCUGUCGUCAGCUCGUGUCGUGAGAUGUUGGGUUAAGUCCCGCAACGAGCGCAACCCUUGCCUUUAGUUGCCAGCAGUUCGGCUGGGCACUCUAAAGGGACUGCCGGUGUUAAACCGGAGGAAGGUGGGGAUGACGUCAAGUCCUCAUGGCCUUUAUGACCAGGGCUACACACGUACUACAAUGGCCGAUACAAAGGGCAGCGACACUGCGAGGUGAAGCCAAUCCCGUAAAAUCGGUCUCAGUCCGGAUUGGAGUCUGCAACUCGACUCCAUGAAGUUGGAAUCGCUAGUAAUCGUGGAUCAGCAUGCCACGGUGAAUACGUUCCCGGGCCUU